GGCUCAGAUUGAACGCUGGCGGCAGGCCUAACACAUGCAAGUCGAGCGGCAGCACGGGUACUUGUACCUGGUGGCGAGCGGCGGACGGGUGAGUAAUGCCUAGGAAUCUGCCUGGUAGUGGGGGAUAACGUUCGGAAACGAACGCUAAUACCGCAUACGUCCUACGGGAGAAAGCAGGGGACCUUCGGGCCUUGCGCUAUCAGAUGAGCCUAGGUCGGAUUAGCUAGUUGGUGAGGUAAUGGCUCACCAAGGCGACGAUCCGUAACUGGUCUGAGAGGAUGAUCAGUCACACUGGAACUGAGACACGGUCCAGACUCCUACGGGAGGCAGCAGUGGGGAAUAUUGGACAAUGGGCGAAAGCCUGAUCCAGCCAUGCCGCGUGUGUGAAGAAGGUCUUCGGAUUGUAAAGCACUUUAAGUUGGGAGGAAGGGCAGUUACCUAAUACGUAAUUGUUUUGACGUUACCGACAGAAUAAGCACCGGCUAACUCUGU
rnacentral:rRNA from 1 species